ensembl:lncRNA
GCGUGAGUACAGUGUGAGUGUAGAUUAUAUUGUGAGUACAGUGUGAGUGUAGAGUACGUCGUGAGUACAGUGUGAGUGUAGAUUAUGUUGUGAGUACAGUGUGAGUGUAGAUUACAGCGUGAGUACAGUGUGAGUGUAGAUUACAGCGUGAGUACAGUGUGAGUAUUAUGUUGUGAGUACAUGUGACGUGUAGAGUACAGUCUGAUUACAGCGUGAGUACAGUGUGAGUGUAGAUUACAGCGUGAGUACAGUGUGAGUGUAGAGUACAGUCUGAUUACAGCGUGAGUACAGUGUGAGUGUGAAUUACAGCGUGAGUACAGUGUGAGUGUAGAGUACAGUCUGAUUACAGCGUGAGUACGUUGUGAGUGUAGAUUACAGUGUGAGUACAGUGUGAGUACAGAUUAUAUGGUGAGUACAGUGUGAGUGUAGAGUACAGUCUGAUUACAGCGUGAGUACAGUGUGUGAGUAGAGUACAGUGUGAUUACAGCGUGCAUGUAGAGUACAGUCUGAUUACAGCGUGAGUACAGGCGCAGCGAGAGGCGGAGGUUCAGGUGGAAUGCGAGGGCAGUGGGGCGAUGGGGUGAGAUUAGUCCCUGCAGAUGGAAAUGGGAUGGAAAUGGGCGAGUGGGAGAAAGAUGAAAUAGAACGGAACCGAGUGAGAACAAAGAGGCAGAGAACCUCAAACAUAACAUCUGUUAUCUUUUCUUUUUGUCUCUCAAGGUUUGAACUUCAGCAGAACAGAUCACAAAAUCAAGCCUCUGUAACCCCUUACCUAACACCCCCCCCCCCCCCCCAAUGACCUGGGUGUGUGUGUGUGUGUGUGUGUGUGUGUGUGUGUGUGUGUGUUAGAGAGAGAACUGGCACUGACUUUCUUUCAUUCAGACUUGUUUAAACCUGUUAGUUGCAAAUGAAACAUGAUCACAGCCUCUAUUACCUUCUGCCAAAGUGUGUGUGUGUGUGUGUGUGUGUGUGUGUGUGUGUGUGUGUUAUAGUAACAGCUGUUCUUCAGGGUCUGGCUUUAAGGGUUUUUCAAGACAGGAGUGUGUGAGUGUGUGAGUGUGUGAGUGUGUGAGUGUGUGAGUGUGUGAGUGUGUGAGUGUGUGAGUUGUUGAUAGGCAUCAUGAGCCAUUCUGGAUAAACAGAGGUUUAGGGGACUUUCCUCUUCAGCUCACAUUCCAAGACAGGAACGGACAGAACUCGGGUUCUAGUUCAUUUUCAAACAACUUGAGACGCCGCUGGAAAGGUUGCCAUGACAACGGUAUCGUGGCACUAGUAUCAUCCUUGCGUCACAAUCGCACAAUUGCAGAAACAUGGAAGAAGGUUUCGAGUUAACAUUGUUGCUUUAACUAUGCUUGUAGCUGUAAAAGUAGGCGGGGUUUAUCGGGAGGCUUGUGGGUGGAGACGAAUAAUGAAUGAAUGAAUGAAUGAAUAAAGGAAAGGACAAUCUUGAUCAGUCCUAUCUGUCUGUCUCGGUCUCUCUCUCUCAGCAGUGUUUAAUUUCCUGUCUGAGAUCUGAUCGUUAUCUGACAGACUCGCCUUGGGAGGAAGUGAUGC